rnacentral:rRNA from 1 species
AGAGUUUGAUCAUGGCUCAGGAUGAACGCUAGCGGCAGGCCUAAUACAUGCAAGUCGGACGGGAUUGAAGAGCUUGCUUUUCAUGAGAGUGGCGCACGGGUGCGUAACACGUAUGUAACCUACCUUAAUCUGGGGGAUAGCCUCUCGAAAGAGAGAUUAACACCGCAUAACAUUAUUGAGUAGCAUUAUUUAAUAAUCAA